CACUCGGUAGCACAUGGUGUGCACCUGCCCAACUUCAAAGUUCACUAACCCAGGUUUACGCAGGAGGCUCUCGGUUCGAUUCCGGGUCGGGUGA